AGUGGAUGGGGAGCAACCUAGUUGUGCGUGUGUAAAGGUAGUGCCAAGAAAAGCGAUGAUCAUGUUGAAAAUCAAUUCCCGGUACCCGAAACCGACACAGGUGGGCAAGUAGAGAAUACUAAGGGGCGCGAGGUAACUCUCUCCAAGGAACUCGGCAAAAUGACCCCGUAACUUAGGGAGAAGGGGUGCCACCGAGAGGUGGUCGCAGUGAAGAGGCCCAGGCGACUGUUUAGCAAAAACAUAGGUCUCUGCAAACUCGAAAGAGGAGGUAUAGGGGCUGACGCCUGCCCAGUGCCGGAAGGUUAAAGAAGUUGGUCAGUUUUAGGAUGAAGCUAGCGACUGAAGCCCCGGUGAACGGCGGCCGUAACUAUAACGGUCCUAAGGUAGCGAAAUUCCUUGUCGGGUAAGUUCCGACCCGCACGAAAGGCGUAACGAUCUGGGCGCUGUCUCGGAGAGAGGCUCGGCGAAAUAGGAUUGUUUGUGAAGAUACGGACUACCUGCAUUUGGACAGAAAGACCCUAUGAAGCUUUACUAUAGCUUGGAAUUGUGUUCGGGCUUCCUGUGCGCAGGAUAGGUGGGAGGCGUAGAAGGUAUUCUUGUGGGGAUACUGGAGCCAACGGUGAGAUACCACUCUCAGGAGGCUAGAAUUCUAACUUAAUUAAGGACAGUUUCAGGUGGGUAGUUUGACUGGGGCGGUCGCCUCCAAAAAGGUAACGGAGGCGUACAAAGGUUCCCUCAGACUGGUUGGAAAUCAGUCGAAGAGUGCAAAGGCAGAAGGGAGCUUGACUGCGAGAAGUACAGUUCGAGCAGGGUGGAAACACGGUCUUAGUGAUCCGACGGUGCUGUGUGGAAGGGCCGUCGCUCAACGGAUAAAAGUUACUCUAGGAUAACAGGCUGAUCUCCCCCAAGAGUUCACAUCGACGGGGAGGUUUGGCACCUCGAUGUCGGCUCAUCGCAACCUGGGGCGGAAGUACGUCCCAAGGGUUGGGCUGUUCGCCCAUUAAAGCGGUACGUGAGCUGGGUUCAGAACGUCGUGAGACAGUUCGGUCCAUAUCCGAUGUAGGCGUGAGAAUAUUGAGAGGAGCCUUCCUUAGUACGAGAGGACCGGGAAGGACGCACCGCUGGUGUACCUGUUAUGAUGCCAAUUGUAAACGCAGGGUAGCCAAGUGCGGAGAGGAUAACCGCUGAAAGCAUCUAAGUGGGAAGCCCACCUCAAGAUGAGUAUUCUGGUGUAAGGUCACGGGAAGACGACCCGUAAAUAGGCACGAGGUGGAAGUGCAGAGAUGUAUGAAGCCGAAGUGUACUAAUAGACCGUCGGCUUGACCG
rnacentral:rRNA from 1 species